rnacentral:rRNA from 1 species
AACGAACGCUGGCGGCAUGCCUAACACAUGCAAGUCGAACGAGACCUUCGGGUCUAGUGGCGCACGGGUGCGUAACGCGUGGGAACCUGCACUUAGGUUCGGAAUAACUCCCCGAAAGGGGUGCUAAUACCGGAUAAUGUCUUCGGACCAAAGAUUUAUCGCCUUUGGAUGGGCCCGCGUUGGAUUAGCUAGUUGGUAGGGUAAAAGCCUACCAAGGCGCCGAUCCAUAGCUGGUCUGAGAGGAUGAUCAGCCACACUGGGACUGAGACACGGCCCAGACUCCUACGGGAGGCAGCAGUGGGGAAUAUUGGACAAUGGGCGAAAGCAUGAUCCAGCAAUGCCGCGUGAGUGAUGAAGGCCUUAGGGUUGUAAAGCUCUUUUAACCGGGAUGAUAAUGACAGUACCGGGAGAAUAAGCCCCGGCUAACUCCGUG